ACGAACGCUGGCGGCGUGCUUAACACAUGCCAGUCGAACGGUGAAGCGCCUUCCUUUUUGGUGGGUGUGGAUGAGUUGCGAACGGGUGAGUAACACGUGAGUAACCUGCCCCCUUCUUCUGGAUAACCGCAUGAAAGUGUGGCUAAUACGGGAUAUUCUGGGUCUGUCGCAUGAUGGGUCUGGGAAAGAUAUUGUUUCGGUGGGGGAUGGGCUCGCGGCCUAUCAGCUUGUUGGUGGGGUGAUGGCCUACCAAGGCGGUGACGGGUAGCCGGCCUGAGAGGGUGGACGGUCACACUGGGACUGAGACACGGCCCAGACUCCUACGGGAGGCAGCAGUGGGGAAUAUUGCACAAUGGGCGCAAGCCUGAUGCAGCGACGCCGCGUGAGGGAUGGAGGCCUUCGGGUUGUGAACCUCUUUCGCCAGUGAAGCAGGCCUGCCUCGUUUGUGGGUGGGUUGACGGUAGCUGGAUAAGAAGCGCCGGCUAACUACGUG
rnacentral:rRNA from 1 species